rnacentral:rRNA from 1 species
CUACGGGGGGCUCCAGUAGGGAAUAUUGGACAAUGGGCGAAAGCCUGAUCCAGCAACACCGCGUGCACGAUGACGGCCUUCGGGUUGUAAAGUGCUUUUAGAGGAGAUGAGAAAGGACAGUAUCCUCUGAAUAAGCCUCGGCGAACUACGUGCCAGCAGCCGCGGUAAAACGUAGGAGGCAAGCGUUAUCCGGAUUUAUUGGGCGUAAAGCGCGUGCAGGCGGUCUAGCAAGUUGGAUGUGAAAGCUCCCGGCUCAACUGGGCGAGGUCGUUCAAUACUGUUAGACUAGAGAAUAGGAGAGGGAGGUGGAAUUCCGGGUGUAGUGGUGAAAUGCGUAGAUAUCCGGAGGAACACCAGUGGCGAAAGCGGCCUCCUGGACUAUUUCUGACGCUAAGACGCGAAAGCUAGGGUAGCAAACGGGAUUAGAUACCCCGGUAGUC